AUUGAACGCUGGCGGCAUGCUUUACACAUGCAAGUCGAACGGCAGCGCGGGCUUCGGCCUGGCGGCGAGUGGCGAACGGGUGAGUAAUGCAUCGGAACGUGCCCAGUAGUGGGGGAUAGCGCGGCGAAAGCCGGAUUCAUACCGCAUACGACCUGAGGGUGUAAGCGGGGGACCGAAAGGCCUUGCGCUAUUGGAGCGGCCGAUGUCGGAUUAGCUAGUUGGUGGGGUAAAGGCUUACCAAGGCGACGAUCCGUAGCUGGUCUGAGAGGACGACCAGCCACACUGGGACUGAGACACGGCCCAGACUCCUACGGGAGGCAGCAGUGGGGAAUUUUGGACAAUGGGGGCAACCCUGAUCCAGCCAUGCCGCGUGCGGGAAGAAGGCCUUCGGGUUGUAAACCGCUUUUGUUCGGGAAGAAAACCUCUGGGCUAAUACCCCGGGGGGAUGACGGUACCGGAAGAAUAAGCACCGGCUAACUACGUG
rnacentral:rRNA from 1 species